UACAGAGACUGCAAGCGUUAUUCGGAUUCACUGGGCGUAAAGGGUGCGUAGGUGGGCAGGUAAGUCAGUGGUGAAAUCUCCGGGCUUAACCCGGAAACUGCCGUUGAUACUAUUUGUCUUGAAUAUUGUGGAGGUAAGCGGAAUAUGUCAUGUAGCGGUGAAAUGCUUAGAUAUGACAUAGAACACCAAUUGCGAAGGCAGCUUACUACACAACGAUUGACGCUGAGGCACGAAAGCGUGGGGAUCAAACAGG
rnacentral:rRNA from 1 species